CCUACGGGUGGCAGCAGUGGGGAAUAUUGCACAAUGGGGGAAACCCUGAUGCAGCGACGCCGCGUGAGUGAAGAAGUAUUUCGGUAUGUAAAGCUCUAUUAGCAGGGAAGAAAAUGACGGUACCUGAUGAAGAAGCCCCGGCUAACUACGUUCCAGCAGCCGCGGUAAUACGCAGGUGGCAAGCGUUAUCCGGAUUUACUGGGUGUAAAGGGAGCGUAGACGGCAGCACAAGUCUGGAGUGAAAUGCCGGGGCUUAACCCCGGAACUGCUUUGGAAACUGUGCAGCUAGAGUGCAGGAGAGGUAGGUGGAAUUCGUAGUGUAGCGGUGAAAUGCGUAGAUAUUACGAGGAACACCAGUGGCGAAGGCGGCUUACUGGACUGUAACUGACGUUGAGGCUCGAAAGCGUGGGGAGCGAACAGGAUUAGAUACCCCAGUAGUC
rnacentral:rRNA from 1 species